rnacentral:rRNA from 1 species
CCUACGGGAGGCAGCAGUGAGGAAUAUUGGUCAAUGGCCGGAAGGCUGAACCAGCCACGCCGCGUGAAGGUCAGUGCCCUAUGGGCGUUAAACUUCUUUUGUGCGGGAGCAAUAAUGGUCACGUGUGGCCAGACGAGAGUACCGUACGAAUAAGCAUCGGCUAACUCCGUGCCAGCAGCCGCGGUAAAACGGGGGAUGCAAGCGUUAUCCGGAUAUAUUGGGUUUAAAGGGUGCGUAGGCUGUGAGGUAAGUCAGCGGUGAAAUGCCCCCGCUCAACGGGGUGAAGUGCCAUUGAUACUGGCUAGCUGGAAUGCGGAUGCGGUGGGCGGAAUGUGAGGUGUAGCGGUGAAAUGCGUAGAUAUCACACAGAACACCGAUUGCGAAGGCAUCUCACGAAUCCUCGAUUGACGCUGAUGCACGAAAGCGUGGGUAUCAAACAGGAUUAGAUACCCUAGUAGUC